rnacentral:rRNA from 1 species
CACGCCGUAAACGAUGAGUGCUAGGUGUUAGGCCCUUUCCGGGGCUUAGUGCCGGAGCUAACGCAAUAGCACUCCGCCUGGGGAGUACGACCGCAAGGUUGAAACUCAAAGGAAUUGACGGGGGCCCGCACAAGCGGUGGAGCAUGUGGUUUAAUUNGAAGCAACGCGAAGAACCUUACCAGGUCUUGACAUCCCGAUGCUAUUNUUAGAGAUAGGAAGUUACUUCGGCACAUCGGAGACAGGUGGUGCAUGGUUGUCGUCAGCUCGUGUCGUGAGAUGUUGGGUUAAGUCCCGCANCGANNNCNNCCNCNNUNNUNUUAGUNNCCAUCAUUAAGUUGGGCACUCUAGCGAGACUGCCGGUAAUAAACCGGAGGAAGGUGGGGAUGACGUCAAAUCAUCAUGCCCCUUAUGACCUGGGCUACACACGUGCUACAAUGGUCGGUACAACGAGUUGCGAGCCGGUGACGGCAAGCUAAUCUCUGAAAGCCGAUCUCAGUUCGGAUUGGAGGCUGCAACUCGCCUCCAUGAAGUCGGAAUCGCUAGUAAUCGCGGAUCAGCACGCCGCGGUGAAUACGUUCCCGGGCCUUGUACACACCGCCCGUCACACCACGAGAGUUUGUAACACCCGAAGUCGGUGAGGUANCCUUUUAGGGGCCA